GCCCUUUGCGUGAUAGCACCUUUGUAAACAGUGACAGUUUCGUUUUCCAGUUGGACCCUAGGCCAAACACGAUGACGGUUUGUUUAUGUUGUUCUUUUGUUUUGGCCUGGCAGGCCAAACCAAAACAGAGUCUGCUUUCGUGUUAGGGCCUUUUCAAUCAAACUUUUGUUUUAAUUUUGAAAGGGGUUUUUUUAUUUUAUUUUCGCGGCCAAUUCGAUAGAAUUCUGAGUAAUUGAGGGCAAAUCGUGAUAUUGUGAUGUGAAAAAUAGAAUUUUACAGUGGAAAAAGUUGUUUAUUCUGCAAUAAGGUUGGGAAGUUGCCGUGGCUGCCGUGUUAUGUUCCUUCUGCAUUUGUCAAGACAAAUUCCUUUAGUGUUCAUAAUCCAGAUGAUCGCUUCGGCUGGUGCUUCUAGCAUUCUCUGGAUUUUUAUAUACUUAUAAUGGACGAACUUGUGUGAAUCAAGCUGCUGAAAUUGUCGCUGAAACCAGGCCACAAUAUCGCUAGGCCGUUCGUAAAAAGCUACUGGGUCGGUGGACGGUCAUGAGCAA